UCUCUCCCGAUGCUCCUGUCCCCGGAGGCUGGUCUCCCCUCUCCCCUUUUUAUGAUCCUUUUCCCUCGAUAAAAACCCCUCCACUUGAACUCUGUUCCAUGGCAUCUGCGUUUUCUCUCAAGCCACCCCCCCCCCCCUUGUAAAUUACAACAACCUCAGACUAGGGGCUCCUGGCUAAUGGACACUUAACAGCUAACUAAGGCUGCCUAAUACCCCUUCUCUGACUGCAGGUACCAUGGCCAUGGCUGACAAGCACAUGGCUCAACUUUUCCCUAAGCCUGGAGGUGGAGGACCAUCUAGUGUCUGACUGAAGGGAGUGCAGCCUGAAGAGAGGUGGUGAGGCAGGGACUUGCUGAGACCAGUGGGCUUGCACAGGAUCAAUCUCGGCGUUGUCCCCAGAGAUGAGACGCUGAAGCUCAGGGGUAGAGAACAUUCGGAUCCACUCAGGCUUAAUAAUGGAACGGAAGCCACUAAUGAGAGCAGCUGUCUGGUUUUUGAUUUGCGUGUGCAUUCGAAAAUGUGCCAUCAGAUGGAUGUAACUAAUUCUGUUAACAAGAAAGAGAAAUAAUGGAACCAAUAGUCCAGGGCCGGCUGCCGCCAGAUGGGGUCAGAAACCUCCAUUUGUACAGCCAGUCCUCAGCAGGGAUGUCCAUACUGAGGCUCACAGCUUGCCACAAACUAGAACAGGAAGACUGGGCGGAUGCAGAGUCAAGUCCCGUGACACAGGCUCUGUGGGAGCUGGCUGAGCCUGGCAGAAGGUGUGUGGCUGUUGCACCCUUCCCCCAUGGGGGUCGGCUGACCAGCUUGUGACUAGGAGCUUCUAGCAAAAUACCUCUGGUCCCCUCCUUCCAGUUAAGCCUGAAUGCAAGUUCCUGUUUUCUGUCCAUCCUUA